GUGGCUGGCUUGCAGACAAUGCGGGAGGGAUGGUGAAGAGGAAGUGUCCAUGUGGCUCCGUGUCGAUGUUAGAAAAGGCGAAAUGGAAGGAGUGUGCCUGACACUUGGAGCAGAAGGUGGGGAGAUUUGGGAUAGAUGGAGCUGUGCAGCAACAGAUCAUUACUCAGGAAAGAAUGCCAUGUGGCAAGUAGGAGAGGCCUGAAGUCAUUUCCCGAAUGGCCCCAGGAGACUUUGAAUAUUCCUUCAAAGCGGGUGAUGUCAUCAAAGGGACCAC